GCAAACAGGAUUAGAUACCCUGGUAGUCCACGCCCUAAACGAUGUCAACUAGUUGUUGGGGAUUCAUUUCCUUAGUAACGUAGCUAACGCGUGAAGUUGACCGCCUGGGGAGUACGGUCGCAAGAUUAAAACUCAAAGGAAUUGACGGGGACCCGCACAAGCGGUGGAUGAUGUGGAUUAAUUCGAUGCAACGCGAAAAACCUUACCUACCCUUGACAUGGUCGGAAUCCUGCUGAGAGGCGGGAGUGCUCGAAAGAGAACCGGCGCACAGGUGCUGCAUGGCUGUCGUCAGCUCGUGUCGUGAGAUGUUGGGUUAAGUCCCGCAACGAGCGCAACCCUUGUC
rnacentral:rRNA from 1 species